GACGAACGCUGGCGGCGUGCUUAACACAUGCAAGUCGAACGAUGACGACCGAGCUUGCUCGGUCUGAUUAGUGGCGAACGGGUGAGUAACACGUGAGCAACCGCCCUUCACUCUGGGAUAACCUCGGGAAAUCGGGGCUAAUACCGGAUAUGAGCUCCUGUCGCAUGGCGGGUGUUGGAAAGUUUUUCGGUGAAGGAUGGGCUCGCGGCCUAUCAGUUUGUUGGUGAGGUAGUGGCUCACCAAGGCGAUGACGGGUAGCCGGCCUGAGAGGGCGACCGGCCACGCUGGGACUGAGACACGGCCCAGACUCCUACGGGAGGCAGCAGUGGGGAAUAUUGCACAAUGGGCGAAAGCCUGAUGCAGCGACGCCGCGUGAGGGAUGACGGCCUUCGGGUUGUAAACCUCUUUCAGCAGGGAAGAAGCGAAAGUGACGGUACCUGCAGAAGAAGCGCCGGCUAACUACGUG
rnacentral:rRNA from 1 species